GGAGCUACCCCUCGGCCGCCUUCCAGCUGGGGAGCCGGCUGGAGCGCGGGCUGCCCUCCUCCUCCGCUGACAAAGGGCUAGCAGCGUGGGAGCUGGCAGGGCUUCUGCAAGCCCUCUGCUCCCACCCUGGCCCCAUUUCACAGACGAGGAAACAAAGGCCCAAAGAAGAGUUCCGCCCGGGACGGAACGUGGCAUAGCUCGCAACAGAACCCAGUCUCCGGAGAUCCCUCUCCUCUGCACCACUUGGACGUUCCACGGAGAGGCAGCGGUGCGCGGGGCGACGGGGAGCUGCCAGAGAAGCAGUGGGGAGCCAUGGAAAGUUUCUGAACAGAGAAGCACUUAUUGGGAACUGUCAGAGCUAUGCUUCAGGAGAUGAAUCUGGCAACAACGUGGGUUAAUAUUAAUGCCCUGUACAUCCUGAGUACAUGUUUCCAGAAAGAGGUGAUCCAGGAGGCUGCCAAGUGGCCUGCAGGUGACAUCCAGAGGGCAGAAAAUGCCCAUGCAGGUCCACGUGUGGGUCCUUAAGCCCCUUGAGGAAAAGGGAGGAGAAAAGGACAAAGAAGGCUCUCCCUUUCCCUUGGAUCCCCUUCUACUCCCACGUGCCCACACUCCUGUUCUUUAGAAGAAAGGGACGGCAGGAGUCUGAUCAUCUGUCCGAUGCCCACACAGUGGCUGUGCUGAGUGACGUGUUGUUUUGAGGAUGUCCCUACCCCCUGGUCUUGCCGUCGGUCUCCAGUACCCAGCGAAGCAAGCUGUGGGCUCUGAGGAGCUCACACCAGGGAGGAGCUGCCCUGGAGUGGAGCAACAGCAUGUCCUCUCCCCUGUGUGACUGCAGUGCUAUAAUAAUAAUAACAGAAAGCUGGCAUUUCUUGAGCUCUUACUGUGUGCCAGAGACACCGCUCUAAGUGCUUACACAUAUGUAUUCGUUUUCUGUAGUUGCUGUAACAAAUUAUCACAAACUUUAAACAUUGAACUUAUG
rnacentral:lncRNA from 1 species